CAUUUGGAACUUGACAGCUUGUUAGAUCUUUUUCCAAAGAUUUUCAUUCGAAGCAUUGACAAGUCUUCAGAUUUCUUCAAUAUCAUUGUUGAGGUGCACAUGGAAUACAGAUACAUAAGUGCCCAAUUCUGUCAAGAUAGGUCAAGUCCAAAAUUGAAGACUUUCAUGUACCUUUUAGGUUAACUUCAAAGAGAAAUGGACUCAAAGGUACCAAGUCCAAAAGAGUAAACAUUCAUCUGCUGAGUACUGCAUCAUAAUUAGUGCUCAAACAAAUUUAUCACCUGGAGAAUUACAAUCACUGCUCAAUUGUGCCAAGACGAUGUUUUUACCAGACUUGUGCAGUUGUUUGGAAAUGAUCUUUGUGGUCAGGAUUUGCUUUAUCACAGAUGUUUCUUAGUGAAGAUGGGACUGUUCGAUUUGUGCAUUUGCGCGCAGAAUUAUGUCUGACAGAUUGUUGGGAUGAUGUCACAA